AUACGGAGGAUGCGAGCGUUAUCCGGAUUUAUUGGGUUUAAAGGGUGCGUAGGCUGUGCGUUAAGUCAGGGGUGAAAUGCCGUCGCUCAACGACGGAGCUGCCCUUGAUACUGGCGUGCUGGAGUACGGAUGCCGUUGGAGGAAUGAGUGGUGUAGCGGUGAAAUGCUUGGAUAUCACUCAGAACACCGAUUGCGAAGGCAUCUGACGAAUCCGUCACUGACGCUGAGGCACGAAAGCGUGGGGAUAGAACAGGAUUAGAUACCCUGGUAUUCCACGCCGUAAACGAUGAUGACUAACCGUCGGCGAUAGACAGCCGGUGGCCAAGCGAAAGCGAUAAGUCAUCCACCUGGGGAGUACGUCGGCAACGAUGAAACUCAAAUGAAUUGACGGGG
rnacentral:rRNA from 1 species